GACGAACGCUGGCGGCGUGCUUAACACAUGCAAGUCGAACGGAAAGGCCCUGCUUUUGUGGGGUGCUCGAGUGGCGAACGGGUGAGUAACACGUGAGUAACCUGCCCUUGACUUUGGGAUAACUUCAGGAAACUGGGGCUAAUACCGGAUAGGAGCCCCUGCUGCAUGGUGGGGGUUGGAAAGUUUCGGCGGUUGGGGAUGGACUCGCGGCUUAUCAGCUUGUUGGUGGGGUAGUGGCUUACCAAGGCUUUGACGGGUAGCCGGCCUGAGAGGGUGACCGGCCACAUUGGGACUGAGAUACGGCCCAGACUCCUACGGGAGGCAGCAGUGGGGAAUAUUGCACAAUGGGCGGAAGCCUGAUGCAGCAACGCCGCGUGCGGGAUGACGGCCUUCGGGUUGUAAACCGCUUUCGCCUGUGACGAAGCGUGAGUGACGGUAAUGGGUAAAGAAGCUCCGGCUAACUACGUU
rnacentral:rRNA from 1 species